UAACGAAGGGGGCUAGCGUUGUUCGGAAUUACUGGGCGUAAAGGCGUGCGCAGGCGGCUUCUCAAGUCAGGGGUGAAAGCCCAGAGCUACAACUCUGGAAUUGCUUUUGAGACUGAGUGCUUGAGUACGAGAGAGGUGAGUGGAAUUCCAGUGUAGAGGUGAAAUUCGUAGAUAUUGGGAAGAACACCGGUGGCGAAGGCGGCUCACUGGCUCGUAACUGACGCUCAUGCACGACAGCGUGGGGAUCAAACAGG
rnacentral:rRNA from 1 species